rnacentral:lncRNA from 1 species
UCCUAACUUUCAUAUCUUAUUACCGACCGUCUCUAGAGCAAGUGGCAAAGGGCUUGGCGGUUGGUACCCGAGAGCCAAGUUCGAAUCCUAGUUGAUUAACAUUUCUAGCUAAGUUUAUUUCUAAAUGAAAUAAACGAAGCGGGUAGCGUGCUACCUAUCAACAAAGUAAACUCUCAAACUACUCGUACAAGACCAUGGCCAUGGUUCAAUACCCUUUCGUGAAUUUUAGUACUAACUAUUUUGAGUAUUUGAAAGAACUUGGCGAUGCAUUCAGCUCAGACGCUAAAAUGUCAGUAUAGAUCGUAAAUGCUAACCAACUAUCUCAAAAGUACAUGCCGAUAGGAAUGGCACAUAAGAUUCAACCGCAGCGCUCAUGAGCUUCGAUCUGACUAAUCCAUCUGAAUGUUAAAUUUAUUGCUGGAUCUCUUGUCAUUAGAUCUCUUACCAUUAGUUUUAUUGUGGAUUAAUUGCAACUUCACUCAACUUAUCGGACUGGCCCAACUCAAUUUAUAC